rnacentral:rRNA from 1 species
GACGUAGGGUGCAAGCGUUGUCCGGAAUUAUUGGGCGUAAAGAGCUCGUAGGCGGUUUGUCGCGUCGGCUGUGAAAACUCGGGGCUCAACCCCGAGCCUGCAGUCGAUACGGGCAGACUAGAGUGCGGUAGGGGAGACUGGAAUUCCUGGUGUAGCGGUGAAAUGCGCAGAUAUCAGGAGGAACACCGGUGGCGAAGGCGGGUCUCUGGGCCGUAACUGACGCUGAGGAGCGAAAGCGUGGGGAGCAAACAGG